rnacentral:tRNA from 7 species
GCGGCGGUGGCGGAAUGGCAGACGCGCUAGUUUCAGGAGCUAGUGUCCGCAAGGACGUGGAGGUUCAACUCCUCUCCGCCGCACCA